GCCCAGUUAGCUCAGUUGGUAGAGCAACUGACUCUUAAUCAGUGGGUCUAGAGUUCGAAUCUCUAACUGGGCACCA
rnacentral:tRNA from 3 species